rnacentral:lncRNA from 1 species
UGAUUUUCGACGAAGCAUGUUGAGUUUGCAUCAGAAUAAAGACCAAGGAAUAUGAGAGCUAGCCUGAUUUACUAAUUGAGAUUAGAAAACAUUUAUCUUCAGUCUUUCAUUUCAUGCUUUAGUUUAUGUGUUAAAAAACUCUGAUGAGUUGAGUUUAGUAAUAGAGCUUAAUAGUAUUUUUUUUAAAUAAAAAUCGUGAUAAAUAUAUAUCAAAAAAAAUGGUGUGGCAGUGGCCCUACUGAAUUUGACUCGUAUAGAUAGGGUGUCAAACGAGCCGAGCCGAAUUUUUGCUUAUAAAACCAGGCUUAGGCUCGUUAAGGAGUCCAGGCUAGCUCAAGUUCGUCGAGCCUGGUUUGACCGAGCUCGGGCUCGGCUCGUUUUAAGAAUUGCCAAGCUCGGGCUCGAGCCCACGAGUCUGGGCUCAAAUUAAAAAAAAAAAUUAUUUGGAGACAGAGGAUCGAACCCGUAACCUCUCGUAUGCUUAAUAAACGUUUUACUAUUUGUGAUAUACUGAUACAUCUUCAUUUUUUGUAAAUAUAAUAUUUUUUUAUACUUUUUACCGAGCCCACCGAGCUUAACGAGCCGAGCCGAGUUUUAUUUGACACCCUACGUAUAGAGGUACGUCCGAAGGUUACAAGUAACAUAAAUUAUAAUAAAAACAAAGACAAUUUACACACUCGCUUAAAAAAAACUCAUCUGUCUAGUCUCAGGUUUCCACACCUUUUUCCUUUCAUCUCGGUUUCAGAAUCUUUCAAAAAGGUUGGGAUAUGCUUCCGCCAGCCAUGUGUUUGUGUCCACUCGAGAACCUGACACUCCUAUAGUCCGUUGAAGGCAUCGUCCUUUCCCUCUUUCCCGAAAGAAGACAAGGGUCGAAUUCGUUAGCAAUCAACUAGUCGGACGUGGGACAAACGUAUGGUAGCUACCGUCAUCCGUCCACCCUAAAAGAGUUUCGUUAUUAAAGGAAUGAACCCCGACCAGACUCUUCGGCCUUUCCUCAUUUAUCUCACUAUACCCAAUUUGGGGUCCAGAUCCACUACGUACUAAAUAACUUCUGUUAAUAGAUUAUUUUGGAUACCCUCUCUAUCUUAUAAAACAA